GGGCCCGUAGCGCAGUUAGGAAGCGCGGCGGCCUUCUAGGCCGAAAAACCGCGAACAACACAAAACACGAAGAAAGCCGCAGGUCCCGGGUUCAAAUCCCGGCGGGCCCG
rnacentral:tRNA from 2 species